CUUAUACUCCCUCCGGUCAGAAUUACUUGUCGAAAUAUUACAUGUAUCUAGACACUUUUUGCACAUAGAUACAUCCGUAUUUGGGCAAAUUUGAGACAAGUAAUACCGGUCGGAGGGAGUAGUUU
rfam:Brachypodium distachyon strain Bd21 chromosome 4, whole genome shotgun sequence.